GGCUUGGUAAUUGGGAUGAGGGAGAGUUAAACGGACCAUCGAGUAUCCAUUGGAGGGCAAGUCUGGUGCCAGCAGCUGCGGUAAUACCAGCUCCAAUAGCGUAUAUUAAAGUUGUUGCAGUUAAAAAGCUCGUAGUUGGACUUGUGUGCGCUGUCCGCGGGUGGCCUGCGCCCAAAAGGGCGUUUCGGUUCGGCCCCGGUGGCGCCUUGAAAUCUGCAGCUGGGGGGACGUUGGCCUUAACUGGUCGGCGACCGCACGCCGGCUGCUCGGUUACUGUGAGAAAAUUAGAGUGUUCAAGGCAGGCAUUGGGUGCAAUUGAAUACAUUAGCAUGGAAUAAUAAAGUAUGGCUCCUGCCGUAUUUUGUUGGUUUUGACUGGUGGGAGUAAUGAUUGAUAGGGACGGUUGGGGGUGCUAGUAUUGAGCGGCCAGAGGUGAAAUUCAUGGAUUCGCUCAAGACUAACUUAUGCGAAAGCAUUCACCAAGGACGUCCUCUUUAAUCAAGAACGAAAGUUGGGGGAUCGAAGACGAUCAGAUACCGUCGUAGUCUCAACCAUAAACUAUGUCGACUUGGGAUCGGCGGUAGUUUUUUCAUUAAGACACUGUCGGGACCACGGGAGAAAUCAAAGUGUCUGGACUCUGGGGGAAGUAUGGUCGCAAGGCUGAAACUUGAAGGAAUUGACGGAAGGGCACCACCAGGAGUGGAGCCUGCGGCUUAAUUUGACCCAACACGGGGAAACUUACCAGGUCCAGAGAUGUAGAGGAUUGACAGAUUGAAGCUCUUUCUUGAUCACUUCGGUGGUGGUGCAUGGCCGUUCUUAGUUGGUGGAGUGAUUUGUCUGGUUAAUUCCGUUAACGAACGAGACCUCAGCCUGCUAGUGUAGUCGGCUGGAUUGCCUUUGGCGAUCCGUGAUUUCGACUUCUUAGAGGGACAAUCGACGCGCAGUCGAUGGAAGUUUGAGGCAAUAACAGGUCUGUGAUGCCCUUAGAUGUUCUGGGCCGCACGCGCGCUACACUGCUGGGCUCAGCGAGUUUUACUUGGCCGAGAGGCCCGGUUAAUCUUGUGAAAUCCCAGCGUGCUUGGGCUCGCCUCCUGCAACUGGAGGCGCCAACGAGGAAUUCCUAGUAGACGCAGGUCAUCAACCUGCAUCGGUUACGUCCCUGCCCUUUGUACACACCGCCCGUCGUUCCAUAAGAGUGAGGCAUCCGGUGAAUUCUCGGGAGAGCCUGGGCGUGGCCAGCAAUGGUCUGCUCGGGUUUGAACUUGCAUAAACUUGGUGCCUAUGAUUAGGG
rnacentral:rRNA from 1 species